UCACCGUGAUGGCUGCUUUGCUUGAUGGA
rnacentral:piRNA from 1 species